rnacentral:rRNA from 1 species
CCUACGGGUGGCAGCAGUGAGGAAUAUUGGUCAAUGGGCGCAAGCCUGAACCAGCCAAGUCGCGUGAGGGAAGACGGCCCUAUGGGUUGUAAACCUCUUUUGUCGGGGAGCAAGCCUGAGCACGUGUGCCCAGGCGGAGAUUACCCGGAGAAAAAGCUCCGGUUAAACCCGUGCCAGCAGCCGCGGUAAUACGGAGGGUGCAAGCGUUACCCGGGAUCACGGGGCGUAAAGGGUGCGCAGGGGGGCUUGUAAGUCAGAUGUGAAAUCCUGUAGCUUAACUACAUAACUGCAUUUGAAACUUUGAGUCGAGAGUGUGGGAGAGGUAGGUGGAAUUCUUGGUGUAGGGGUAAAAUCCGUAGAUAUCAAGAAGAAUACUCAUUGCGAAGGCGACCUACUGGAACAUAACUGACGCUCAUGCACGAAAGCGUGGGGAGCAAACAGGAUUAGAUACCCUAGUAGUC